GCUAGGUUAGUUUAUUAAAAAUGUCCCCUUGUGGCGGGGAGGAUGGACACUAUAGUCCACUUGGUU
rnacentral:tRNA from 1 species